UGUACUAUUAGAGUAAUGUGGUUUUACCUUAAUGUUAGCAUAUCGUGAUCAGUACAAGCCUCAAAUGGACAUCAUGGGUGUCCUAUGCUGCCUGCUAGAAUCGGAAUACAUAUAAUUUGUAACACGUCUUUGAAAACAUGGAAAUAAUAUCGUAAACAAUGACGUAUUCACCACUGGAACCGCAUUAGCUGACAUUGACUGAUGAACGAAAUGGACAGAGCAUGUAGCUAGCUUGCUUCUAACAAUUCAGACGGUACCUGCGAUACACAAGAGUCAUCUAGCGUUGUUGUAUUCGUUGUAUAUUUAGAUAUAUUGAACAGAAUUAAAUUGUCCAAUGCAGACAAUUGAAUGAAGAUAAAGUUUAAGAAUAUAUAUAAACAGCAGCUGCAAAACACAGUGCAAACGGUCGGUAUCCACUGAUUUGGGGGCAGUUUGGCAGUUUCCACACUAAUGGAUACUCUGGUCAAACUGAUGGAGCCAUCAUCGCUGGGUCGUGCAAGCAGGACGAGGGAGAUCCACCAGCUGUCUGCUGAAGUCAUGGACUUCAUAGACAAGGAGCAUAUCGUCUACUUCCUGAUAAAGCUGACUGAAUAUUUUCGAAGAUUUUGAAGCCCAGAAAUGGAUGGAUUUGUUUUCAGUUCCUGGGGUGUUUUCUGAAGUUUAUGCUUAAAUAUUGCAGUUCUGUAGUUUUCAUUUCACUGUUCACUGUUGUUGAUAAUAUUUACAGAAGGAUAAAAUGUACUGCAAAAUUGUUAUUUGCCACCACUGUCAGAUCUGUGUCACCACUGUCAGGUCUCAGUCACCACCAUCAGAUAGAACUUUCUUUGUUUUAAAUUAAUACGUUACAAUCUGUUCCUCCAGUGCAGUUGAUGUAUUAAAGUAAUUGUCUCUUUAAAAUAAAAAAUGUAUGUUUUUAUUUGAUAUAUGUAAUGCUAAUGAUUAAGGUUGCAUGAUGUAAGGGUUUAAAGGAGAAAUAGUAUAAAAAAUUAACAUGAGUGAAUAUUCGACAUUUAACAGCAUAUACAUAUGUGUACCAGUGGUGUAGACACAAUAAGCUGUAAAUCUAUAUAAGACUAAAUAAAUAGGAAUAAUUAGA